CAAAGGUUAGUUUAAUUAAAAUAAUAAUUUUGGAGAUUAUUGAUGGGUUUAUUAUUUCCUUCCUUUGA
rnacentral:tRNA from 1 species